AUACUUUGGUGCUCUAUGCUCUAUUAGAACUACCCCAAUCCAUCCCGAACUUGGGUGUCAAAGAAUAGAGGGUGUAAAAUAACUUGUUGGAUGCCUGACUGGAAACUUUACACUAGUGCCAAGGUG
rnacentral:rRNA from 1 species